GCUGGGCGUGGAGGCUCACGCCUGUAAUCCCAGCACUUUGGGAGGCCGAGGCGGGUGGAUCACCUGAGGCCAGGAGUUCGAGACCAGCCUGGCCAACAUGGUGAAACCCCAUCUCUA
ensembl:misc_RNA Metazoa_SRP Metazoan signal recognition particle RNA